rnacentral:lncRNA from 1 species
CUCUUUUAAAAGACUCACCCUGUAUAUUGUGGGAUGUAAAGGUGCAGUCAAGUGCAACAUUCCGACAAAGGAUUAAUGGCCUCCAUGUUGCUGUGACAACUAGUUCGUCGGUUGCUGGUAGGUUUGAAAUAUAACUGCUCAGUUGCAGUCACCUCAGGACCAACUGAGUUGGUAUAGUUUAUUUGCUUGUUAUGUAACCUAAGCCUGCCUUCAUGUACAGCUCUGUAAACCUGAAUAAAUCUGAGAGUAAAAUAGUUUUAUAUUAACAUGAAUCAGAUUUGUUUGUGUAUUCUUUAAGAAGGAUUCAAAGGGAUUUUUAACCAGGAAGGCAUCUUUAUUAGUAGAACUCAGAUGAGUCAGCAACAAGGUGAUCACUGCAUAAACUUAUAAAGGGAAUUGUUUAACUCUGCUAAAGUAAACCUUCCCACAAUGGAUUAUGGGCCCAGAGUUGCGUAAUUUCUUUUUUUACUUCCUGGUUAUCCAGUGGGGAUUAAGCAACCCUCUCCCUUCCCUCAGAGGUUACAGUUACCUAAGGCAGUGAAGAUCUGUUUUAUAUUUUUGAGAUGGCUAGUGUGAUGGCUAGUUGAUAGUGAUCUAGGCCGAGGCCUGCCUGUGCUAAAUGAACAUAAUUUUGUGCACUGGAAGCAACACUUAAUAGCACUUCUAGAUGCAAAAGGAGUCCUGGAUGCUAUAAAAAGCCUACAAACACAGAUGAGGGUGAUUUACCCAAGAUAAGAUUUACCCAAGAUGCCACCCCCUUGCAGUGAGGGAACCGCCAGAAGGCCCUCGGUGCUGGACCUCAGUGUCCGGGCAGAACGAUGGGGGUGGAGACGCUCCUUCAGGGAUACUGGGCCGAGGCCGUUUAGGGCUUUAAAGGUCAGCACCAACACUUUGAAUUGUGCUCGGAAACGUACUGGGAGCCAAUGUAGGUCUUUCAAGACCGGUGUUAUAUGGUCUCGGCAGCUGCUCCCAGUCACCAGUCUGGCUGCCGCAUUCUGGAUUAGUUGUAGUUUCCGGGUCACCUUCAAAGGUAGCCCCACGUAGAGCGCAUUGCAGUAGUCCAAGCAGGAGAUAACCAGAGCAUGCACCACUCUGGCGAGGCAGUCCGCAGGCAGAUAGGGUCUCAGCCUACGUACCAGAUGGAGCUGGUAAACAGCUGCCCUGGACACAGAAUUGACCUGUGCCUCCAUGGACAGUCAUCCAAAAUGACUCCCAGGCUGCGCACCUGGUCCUUCAGGGGCACAGUUACCCCAUUCAGUACCAGGGAAUCCUCCACACCUGCCCGCCUCCUGUCCCCCAAAAACAGUACUUCUGUCUUGUCAGGAUUCAACCUCAAUCUGUUAGCCGCCAUGGCGACAGCUUAGCAAGCAGGCUUCGGAGCUCCGCAGAUAACAGGACUGUAAUUAGCAUUGACUGCCACCCAGGGAAGUAAUUUUUCCUUUUUUACUUCUCUACUUUUAAACUUACCAACCUACUGAGAUUUUAACAGCACCUUCUUGUCUAUGCUAUGAGAAACAUCUUGGGCAAGUUCUGUGAAGCAUCCUGGGCAGGCCGCCAGCUGCUAGGUAUUAACCGCCAACUCCCUUCUAUACUUUGUUCCUGAAAACUCCUGGCAGUCUCCACACAGAGAAGCUCUUAAACUGAACAAACUGAGCACUUUCUAUUUUUUCCUCUCUUUUUUGGUUGGGGGAACCUCUCCUUGUUUACUCCCCACGGUGACGCUAUGCCUGCUAGUAAACGCCACAGGGACCCAGAGGAUGUAGCUCUCUCACCAGUUCCCAAACAAUCUAAAAUAGAGGACUUUUUAAACAAAUCUGCUUUUAUAGUUCCAACAAAAAACCGGUUUUCUCCUCUUGAAGAUGAUUGUGAGUGUGGGGAGAGUAUUCAAGGUGAGAGCAUGGAACUGGAUCCAGCAAUGGGGCAAGUUGAUCCUGUGCCGCUCAGAAAGGAAGGAAUAACAAGUAGGGAGAGCACCCAAUUAACUCUAAUUGCAAGAACGGUUGAGCAUAUCUUCCAACAAAUUAGAGGUAUUGCCUCUCAAAUAACCCAAUUAUCCAAAGAGGUCCACAGUUUAUCAGUUAAUAACAAGCAGGCAUCAACAGAACACCAUAGUACCAAAGGGAAUUGGCGACAAGAAGAGCAGACCCCUAAGCUCAACAUAGAAUGCGCAGAGGCUCUUAAAACAAAUUCUUCUUAUUUAAUCUUCCAACCAAAAAAGAUCUGCAUGACAAUUUGUGGAAGGCCAGAUCAAACUCCCAGCUGGAAAGGUGCCCAGGAUUCCAAACGACAUUUAUCAGGCUUACUUGGCAUUGGACUUACAGAGAUCGAUCUCGUUAGGACUGAACUCUUGAAUACCAUAAAUCAAAGCCAAAAAAUUAUGUUAACUUUUUCCUCUACUAGACUGCCCUCACUGAUUCACAAGCUGAACUUCAGAUUGUCAAGCAGAGGAGUUUUUCCAACCCGGGUAUUUCGCAAUUCUAUUGUUGCACCCUUAUGUAAGAUGAGGACUGGUGCUUCAGAGGGGCCCACAAAACCAACGCCUGGAUCCCCAAUGGAAGUAAUAACAUCACAAAAAAAAACUUGACAGGUGGGGAGGAAAGAGACAUGCCUGAGUUGAAUUCGCAGGAUCAUGCCCAACAUCAAAAUAACCAGGUGAGCCAAAAGGAACAGCCGAUUCCUCUAGAUAAUCAUCUUCAGGAAUCUGAGCACUCUGUAAAUCCUUUGGAAGAGGAUUUUCUCAGCUCAGCUCAGCUCCUUUAGGAAUCUCCCUCAGGAAGAGCAACAGUUAUCAAGAGGCUUGAUCUUAUGAGCCAGACAUUGAAAGAGAUUAAAGAACCGGAGGCAGAGACUGAUAAUAGACCCAAUGGCCACAACAGAAUGAUAACUAUAGAACCACCGGAGUAUUGGACAAAGAUGAGAUAUUUAGAAGAGGAGGAGUCAGGAAAUUCACCCAAGGAAUCCCCAUUGGCAAGCAAUUUGCAAAGAAAAGGCCCAGUGAUUGCAAAUAUGAGUACUUUAUGUACGACGACUGAAUCAAAGGCAAAAAAUCCAUGACCUCAUUGAAAGCAUGCAGAUGCAAGUUGCAAACACAGUUGCUACACCCAUGGCCACUGACUUCUUAAAGAAUCAGGAGAAUUCAAACCCGUUGCCAGACAACAAUGAGUAUCAGUCAAUGAUUGGUAAACUUUUGUAUUUAGUUACCACAUGCAGACCUGAUAUAGCCAAUGCAACAAGCUGAUCACUGCAUAAACUUAUAAAGGGGAUUGUUUAACUCUGCUAAAGUAAACCUUCCCACAUAUAUUCACAUAUUGUAUUAUGUUUCUUCUCUUUCUUUUUUUCACUUUAUUUUGUACAACUGAAAAACUGGGUAUCAGAUACUGAUCUUAAACAAUAUACAUGUAUAAUACAUAUGAACCUGGAAGUCCAUGGAUGUCAGGGAACUGCCAUCAAGAGAGGGGAGGGAGGCAGGAACGUACAGACAGCCUCCCCCCUUGCUGAGCAGCAGCACUUCGUCAAAGACUGGUGAAGGCGACACCUCAGGAGGAAUGGAAGAAGAGACAAGGGGGGGUGGAACAAAGGCUCACAGAGGCUUCUGUGAGCCACAGCACCUAUCCCAGGCAAGAAAGGGAGAGUGACGUGCAGCUUCCAUUGCAUAGUUUUCACAAGGGAAUUAAGCGUAAGGAAAAGAGGAGGAGAGUGGGGGUGCCCCGGUUUUUAUUCUGGAGGGGAAACCGGAAGAACCCACUCUCGGAAUCUGCUAGCGAUUGAGGCAGACAUGCACUUUGGACUUCUGCACUGUACAUAGUUUUGCACACAAUAAAACCUGUAAAAGGCAGGUCAGAGUCCUGGGCUGUUUACUUCGUGAGCAACCAUACGCAUUCCUGACAAUAGUGAAAAAAAUUAUAGUGGCUUCAUAAAAAUAAAUUAUUUCCAUUCCAGCAUGGUUCUAAUCCAAGGGCAAGCAGUUCCCUUACGCUGGGUUUGGGGUGUUCAUUUCUAACCCUCUAAGUUUCUCUUCCC